ACUUCUAUGGAAACUCUUUUCCAUCAAUUAUAUUACUGUGGCUACAGACUCAUAGACUUAGCUUCUCAAAUCUCAUAGGACUACUCUCUAUCAAGAUCGAUAGAUCCUAUCUUGAUGCGCAUCCUAGCCCUACAGUGGACCAACUAUCGUCAACAUCCACUACAAGGGCUCAUUGAGACCUAUGUUUAUAUGUCAUCAACAUCCACUGCAGAUCAUCCACACGAAGCUCCCAGUCUGAUCGACUCCUCACGAGUGCUAGCUCGUUGU
rnacentral:lncRNA from 1 species